GACGAACGCUGGCGGCGUGCUUAACACAUGCAAGUCGAACGGUGAAGCGCCUUCCUUUUUGGUGGGUGUGGAUGAGUGGCGAACGGGUGAGUAACACGUGAGUAACCUGCCCCCUUCUUCUGGAUAACCGCAUGAAAGUGUGGCUAAUACGGGAUAUUCUGGGUCUGUCGCAUGAUGGGUCUGGGAAAGAUAUUGUUUCGGUGGGGGAUGGGCUCGCGGCCUAUCAGCUUGUUGGUGGGGUGAUGGCCUACCAAGGCGGUGACGGGUAGCCGGACUGAGAGGGUGGACGGUCACACGGGGACUGAGACACGGCCCAGGCUCCUACGGGAGGCAGCAGUGGGGAAUAUUGGACAAUGGGCGCAAGCCUGAUGCAGCGACGCCGCGUGAGGGAGGGAGGCGUUCGGGUUGUGAACCUCUUUCGCCAGUGAAGCAGGCCUGCCUCGGUUGUAGGUGGGUUGACGGUAGCUGGAUAAGAAGCGCCGGCUAACUACGUG
rnacentral:rRNA from 1 species